AUUGAACGCUGGCGGCAGGCUUAACACAUGCAAGUCGAGCGAGCGGCGGACGGGUGAGUAAUGUAUGGGCAACUGCCUGAUGUACGGGGCAAACUACGGGAAACGGUAGCUAAUACUGCAUACCAUCAGUUGUGGCCAGGUGGGUUUAGCUAGUAGGUGUGGUAAUGGAUCACCUAGGCGACGAUCCCUAGCUGGUCUGAGAGGAUGACCAGCCACACGGGAACUGAGACACGGUCCAGACUCCUACGGGAGGCAGCAGUAGGGAAGAUUGCACAAUGGGCGCAAGUCUGAUGCAGCAAUGCCGCGUGUAUGAAGAAGGCCUUCGGGUUGUAAAGUUCUUUCAGCGGGGAGGCGUUACCCAAAGAAGAAGCACCGGCUAACUCCGUGCCAGCAGCCGCGGUAAUUC
rnacentral:rRNA from 1 species